rnacentral:ncRNA from 1 species
UUUGCUAGGGGCGCUUUUUGCUGAGAGGCCGCAAGGCCAACCCUUUGAACUUGAUGUGGAUAAUCCCAACGCAGGAAAGCAGAUC